rnacentral:lncRNA from 1 species
GUCACACAGUCAGAAGUCCAAAAUCAAGGUGUCCACUGGGUUGGUUCCUUCUGAGGGCCCUGCUGGAGAAUCUGAUUCGUGCUUCUCUCCUAGCUUCUGGUGGUUGCUUGCAAUCUUUGGAGUUCCUGGUUUGUAGCUGCAUCACUCCAAUAUCUACCUCCAUCUUCACAUGGCACUCUCUUUUGUGUGAGAAAAGAAUCAUUUCCAGAAUUCUAAAGGAGAGAAUGGGAUCACAUGAUCAUCCCUAGCCACAGGAAGGCUGGGUACAAAUCCGCCAUUGUCAGCCAUGAUGAUCCAAGGAAGACCGCCAAUGGACCAGUCAGAAAACAUGCCUUAUUGUCUCAGCUCUGUCACCAACUGUGUGUGAAUCAAGGCAAGUCUCUUCACCUUCCAUUUUCCUCAGCUAUAAAAUGAAGUGUUACAUUAGAUGAUCCGACAGGUUCUUUGCAACACCAGAACUCCACAAUACUAAGCUCAAAGAGUAAUUUGGGGCCAUUUGUUUAGAUGGAAGCUGGGAAGACUGAACAAACAUUUCCUGAAGAGGGACUGACUGAGCACAUUUUCCUACAAGUUAACAUUUACACAGUCAACCCCUUCAAGACUCUACUUGUCACAAUAAUUUCCAGUGAUUGGUUAGUGUUUCCUCUUUGUUCUUGUCACUGUUAACAUUACUAAUUGUACUUUUUGUUGAUUUUGCUACUAUUAUUAUAAAAAUAAUACAUGCACAUUAUAAAAUGAAAUGAAAUUAAAGUUCAUGAGAUAAUAGAUUUUUUCCUCUAAAUAUAGAAUAAUAGUUUCUUGGCCAUCUUUAAGGAAUUCUCCCAUUUAUUUUACAUAAACACACACAUUCACACACUUUUUAUGUAUUCUUAAAUACUUUUGUUACUUAUUUGAGUUAACAAUAUAUCUUUAAAAAUUUUCCAUAUCAGAAUAUAGUUUAUUAUAUUAUUUUAAAAUACUGGUCUAUGUAUGAAUAUUUUUUAAUUCUUAGUUUUCUUUUGAUGGAUAUUUGCUAAUUUUUUCAUUUUGCCUUUUAUUUCAUAAAAUUGCAUUGGAUUUUCUAUUGUAAAGAUGAAUCCGAAAACUCAUUGUAGAUUACUCAUAAUGCAGUUACUGAGUCAAAAUAUGUACAAUUUAAAAUGGAUUGUAGAUAACUACAAUUCCCUCCAAGUAAUAUAAGUUUAUUCAUCCACAGUCACAUACUUGAUAAGCCUGAUGCUAUCAAAAUUUUAUAAUUUUUACAAUAUGGCAGUACAGAAAUUGUUUCAUUGUUAUUUACAUUGAGUUUCUUUAAUAGUGAAUAGGAUUUAACAUCCUUUCUUAUGUUUACAUAAUAUUAGCAUUCUCUUUUUCCAUGAAACAUUACAUUUUUCUCAUUUGAUCUAUCUUAACUAAGAAUGGUAUAUUAAAUCUACUAUUAUUAAUGUUUGUAUUCAUAGUUUUUGCUUCAUAAACAUGUUUGCUGUUUUACUUAGUGCAGAGAUAUUCUUAAAUGUUAUAUCGUUAUUAUGACUAAUGCUUUUAAGCAUGAAGGAUGUUCAUCUUUGACAUGUUUGAUGUGUUCUGAGUUGAACUUUAUUUUGCCCGGUAUUACAAUUACUAUUCCUGCAUUAUAAAAAGCAUCAUUUCCACAUGCCUACAUACAUUUAUCCAUCCCAUUAUUUCUUGCCUAUUUUCUGGUAUUACUUUCUUUGUUUGAGGUGUUUUGGGUUUUUUUAAUAUGCAUACAAAAUAUAGUUGGGUCUUGAUAUUUUGAGUCAAAAUGUGAAUCUUUUUUCUUCAGUAGAUGAACUGAGCGCAUUCACAUUCAUUGUCAUAACCAAUAUAUUUAGUAUCAACUCUCAUAAUAUUUUAAAAUUAUGUGUAUUACAUUAACUAUGCUUCUUUGUCUAUUAAAUGCACAUUCUUUGCAAUUUUAUCAUUGUUAUCAUUAAUAUUAUUGCACUUAAAUCAUUCACAUUUAUGUUAUAUUAGUUACCUUUGUACUUACACCAUUUUAAAAAUGCUCUUAUCUCAAUGUUUUCUCAUUUAAAUUUUUACUAUCUGUUUUGUCAGUUUUUAAUAGUAUAAUUUACUUCCUACCUAUUGCAUGCAAACAAUUAGUGAGCUUACUCUACUUUUUUUUUUGUUCUUCACCCUUCCUUCCCCUGUCACCUGUUAGGUUCAUAAUUUCUACUGUGUUACAGUAUAUUACAUUUGUAUGUUAGUGUUCCACCCUCAUUCUCACCUGUGUUUUAAUCUCCAAUUAUUUAACAUCAGCCCUUUUGCUGAAGAAGUUUUCUUAGCUUUUUAUUGAUUGGAUGAAAUAUAUUCCUCAAGAACGGUUCAUAAGUAUAGAAUUUCCAAAAUUAUUGUAUAAUUAAAACAGUUGUUUUCUGUAGCCUCUAUACUUGAAAAAUAGUUUGUCUAGAUAUAAAUUUUAAUUAGAUUUGUUUUAUUGAAAUUUAAAAAAGAAAACUCUGCUACAUUUCUGGCUUGUUUUGUAUGUUUCUUUUUUUUUUUUUUAAGUUUGACAUCAAUCUAAUUAUUUUCAGUUUUAUUUUCUUCUUGACCCUUCUCCCCCACCCUCAAUCCCCCAGCAUAGGCCUUGAGAAUUUAUAUUUUACCUUUAAAAUCAAUAGACCCACUGUAAUAUUUCUCAUAACUGAUUUGUCAUAAUAAAUUUUCCCACAUAUCCAGUGAAAUUUUAUGAUAUAUAAAUUUAUGUUUUUUCGAUGUCUGAAAGCUUUUCUUGAAUUGUAAUUUUAAAUAUAAGUUCUCUUCUAUUGCUCCAUUUUUCUGAAUUUUUAAUUUACACUGAGACCAUAAUGGGUUUGUGUUUAUUUUCAUUUGUUUGUCUUGUGCUUUCUACUACAAAGAAAAAGUAUCUUUGACUUAAUUCAUUGUAUACAGAGAAAGAAUGCAAUGAAGAAAGCAUUAUUUACUCACGAAUGUAUAUUUCAAACUUAGAAACUUUAGGAAAGCAUUUGCGGCUUGAAAUAAGUUCCUAAUUAGAGCAUUGUUAGCCCUCAUAAAAUUAAAUCUUUAGGCCUGGCAAUGUGGCUCACACCUGUAAUUCCAGAACUUUGGGAGGCCGAGGCGGGCAGAUAAUGAGGUCAAGAGAUCGAGACCAUCCUGGCCAACAAGAUGAAACCCUGUCUUUACUACAGAUACAAAAAUUAGCUGAGCAUGAUGGUGCACGCCUGUAAUCCCAGCUACUCGGGAGGCUGAGGCAAAAGAAUCACUUGAACGAGUGAGUCGGAGGUUCCAGUGAGCUGAGAUCGUGCCACUGCACUCAAGCCUGGUGACAGAGCAAGACCCUAUCUCAAAAAUCAAUCAAUCAAUCAAUCAAUCAAUCAAUCAAUCUGUAGUUUCUAUACCUGAAAUGAAUUGGGACAUAGUUACUGAGGAGUGUCCUGCUACUGAAUGAAUAUAAACAACCUCUUGUCACUAAAGGUUUCCCAGCAAGAAUGACCAGAAAAAUAGUCAGUCUUCUGGCUAAGAUUGUUUGUAGUGUUGAACAUGGUUUUUCCUGAAUACAUCAACAGAAAUAGCUUAGAAAGCCUGGACCCCCGUAAAGUUCUUGGAUCAUAUGAAGAUGAUGAGGCAAUGGCAAAAGAUGUAAAUCUUUUUUUUUUUUUUAAAUAGAGCCUGUUCCAGUGCAUCUGUGCUCUUUGCCUAACUUGUUUACUAACUUGGGCACGAAUCUCCAACUAGUCUUCUACUAUUCUUAAUAAUUUUCCUUAAAUAGUUUCUUAAUGUUGAAUAUUUUACCUUUGCAUUCUCUAGU